GAUGAAGAACGUAGCGAAAUGCGAUAAGUAAUGUGAAUUGCAGAAUUCAGUGAAUCAUCGAAUCUUUGAACGCACAUUGCGCCCGCCAGUAUUCUGGCGGGCAUGCCAGUUCGAGCGUCAUUACAACCCUCAGGCCCCCGGGCCUGGCGUUGGGGAUCGGCGGAGCCCCCCGUGGGCACACGCCGUCCCCCAAAUACAGUGGCGGUCCCGCCGCAGCUUCCAUCGCGUAGUAGCUAACACCUCGCGACUGGAGAGCGGCGCGGCCACGCCGUAAAACACCCAACUCUUCUGAAGUUGACCUCGAAUCAGUUAGGAAUACCCGCUGAACUUAAGCAUAUCAAUAAGCGGAGGA
rnacentral:misc_RNA from 1 species